AACGGGUGCGGAACACGUACGCAACUUCCUCUAACUGGAGAAUAGCCCCUCGAAAGAGGGAUUAAUACUCCGUAACAUAUUGAUAAGGCAUCUUAUUAAUAUUAUAGCUCCGGCGGUUAAAGAUGGGCGUGCGCCUGAUUAGAUAGUUGGCGGGGUAACGGCCCACCAAGUCUGCGAUCAGUAACUGGUGUGAGAGCACGACCAGUCACACGGGCACUGAGACACGGGCCCGACUCCUACGGGAGGCAGCAGUAAGGAAUAUUGGUCAAUGGACGCAAGUCUGAACCAGCCAUGCCGCGUGGAGGAUUAAGGCCCUCUGGGUUGUAAACUCCUUUUAUCUGGGAAGAAAUGCAUUUUUUCUAAAGUGCUUGACGGUACCAGAGGAAUAAGCACCGGCUAACUCCGUGCCAGCCGC
rnacentral:rRNA from 1 species